rnacentral:rRNA from 1 species
UAGCAUGAAGUCAGACAAGUGACCCCGCUGAAUUUAAGCAUAUCAUAAAACGGGAAGAAAACGGGAAAGAAAAGGG